CAUGGCUCAGGAUGAACGCUGGCGGUGUGCCUAAUGCAUGCAAGUCGAACGGAGUUCCGCAAGGGACCCCGUGGCGAACGGCUGAGUAACGCGUAAGUGACCUGCCUUCCGGUGGGGGACAACUACCCGAAAGGGUAGCUAAUACCGCAUUCGAGCGGCUGGGUAGCGCCAGCCGCUGAAAGCCGAAAGGCGCCGGAAGAGGGGCUUGCGUCCGAUUAGCUAGUUGGUGAGGUAAGGGCCCACCAAGGCGAGGAUCGGUAGCUGGUCUGAGAGGAUGGUCAGCCAGACGGGGACUGAGAUACGGCCCCGACUCCUACGGGAGGCAGCAGCAAGGAAUAUUGCGCAAUGGGCGAAAGCCUGACGCAGCGACACCGCGUGGGGGAUGAAAGCCUU
rnacentral:rRNA from 1 species